CCUACGGGUGGCUGCAGUGAGGAAUAUUGGUCAAUGGGCGCGAGCCUGAACCAGCCAAGUAGCGUGAAGGAUGACUGCCCUACGGGUUGUAAACUUCUUUUAUAAAGGAAUAAAGUGAUGCACGUGUGCCUUUUUGUAUGUACUUUAUGAAUAAGGAUCGGCUAACUCCGUGCCAGCAGCCGCGGUAAUACGGAGGAUCCGCGCGUUAUCCGGAUUUUUUGGGUUUAAAGGGAGCGUAGAUGGGUUGUUAAGUCCGUUGUGAAAGGUUGCGGCUCAACCGUAAAAUUGCAAUUGAUACUGGCAGUCGUGAGUACAGUUGAGGUAGGCGGAAUUCGUGGUGUAGCGGUGAAAUGCUUAGAUAUCACGAAGAACUCCGAUUGCGAAGGCAGCUUACUAAACUGCCACUGACAUUGAUGCUCGAAAGUGUGGGUAUCAAACAGGAUUAGAUACCCCUGUAGUC
rnacentral:rRNA from 1 species